rnacentral:lncRNA from 1 species
GUUGGGUUUCCUUUAGGAUUCGCUACCCUCUUGGAUGAAUGCUGCCUAGUUUUGUGGCUAAGAUCGCGCAUAAGAGGCGCGGGCUGCGCCUUGACUUUGUAUGGUGCGGUUGCCUUACAAACAAACGUUCUUCGCCCUUAAGUGCAAGAAAUGUCUUCCAGUCCUCACCACUCGGCCCCUGGUGUAAUUUGCCUUGCUGCGGAGGGGUCUGCCGCUUUGGGGCCCUUUCCAAAAGGCCUUUGGAAAUGAGAAUCUAGAAUCUGAUUCCAGAGCCCAAAUUAGAUAGGCGCAGCGGAGAGGGGAGGGGUGGUAAGGGGAGUGUCCAGGCUAGAAGUAGGUGAGAAACGAAGGGUGCGUUUCCUAGCGGCUUAUUGUGAAAGGAGGAAAAUGAAGCCCCAGAGUCAGGAAACUUGGGGCUGGCGGACUUGAAGUUUUGUACUUAGGAAAAGAAAGAGGCUCCAUUAAAGGUAGGAUUUGAGAAGUCAUCACCAAGAGCUGAUCCACAACUCCAGAUCUAAUUGUGGGAAAACAUCAAUGGACUCCAAAUUGACAAUCAUUCUAAAAAAAGUGAAGCUCCAAGAAAGCUGAGGUCCAUAGACAGCUUGGGACACCAUACGCAAUGCUCACCUCGCUAUGCAGAUAAAGACACUGAAACAUCCAGAGAUCACACAAGCUUUCAGUUACC